AUAUGGGUACUACAGAGUCAAAUAAAGUAUUGCAGCCACCGACUGCCUAAAAGGGAGUUGCCUUUUUACAGAGAGACCUUUAUUAAAAUUACGGCAAGGGCCAGAAAGUUUUUUCUUGCGUCAUAGCACCGUUGGGCGCUGGAGGUGCCCCGCAAUCCAUGGACUUCUAAUUUCCGUUCAUUGUUAGAUUCAGUACUCUGCAGUAACGUCUCAAAAAAAAUCCAAGAAGCAUGACCCCAUCCUUGCACAAGAUGACGCCGAAAUGGCAUGUAGUACCAGCCUUGGAGUGCGGGCCGAGGAACUUCACUGUGGACUGAGGGUUGUGUAAUAGUUUCAGGCACGAAAUCAUUUUAGAAGCGUGGGAUGAAUUCCUACAGAACCGUCCCCUCCUUCUGUAUUUUAUCGAAGAACUCGCAAGGCUUCUCAGGUUGCAGCUCGAUUCCUAUGAAGCUAUUUUUGCUCUUUGCCCGAGCCCAUUGGUCUUGACACAGCAUCGCUAGAGUCACCCGCUCCGCUCCUGGACAAAAGACCUUUGAGAGCGAAUUCUGCAGAGAGAGUCUCUCUGAAAACACACCUCAGAAUUGUCCAGUUCUGUCCCAGACACACGACAACACUGGAGCAGAGGUCAGGACGUCUCCAGGUGUUCCUGGGCUUUGGGUGAUCAUUUCAGGCUGCCAUUGUCGUCACCGGCAAGGGCGUGUCACCUAGCACGCGAGGGGAGGCCACCGCUGCACCCUUGCUGAGAAGUACACGGAUCCUUCCCGCACCGUGCUGUCCUCGCACGGGUGCUCCAGGAGCGCGCCAGCUUGGCCGCGUGCACUUGGCACUCCCAUCCGUCACCGGGCGACGAGAAUCUUCCACGUGCCGAUGGCGGGCUGCAGGAACCAGCAGACCACUAGUCGGACCUGAGCCUUCAGGAGAAAAACUCAGCAGAGUUGUGCCUGGGGAUCCUUCUGAGCUAGGGAGAGACACGCUAGGGGCAAAAUGUCGCCGGAAUUAUUGGCACAGAAUUCUAAGUUGUGCAGGAAAAAAAAAAAAAAUUCCGCUGAACGCUAACCCAGUGCUGUGUGAUUUACAAAGCCUUUUGCUUCUGUCAGGCCUUUGAAACAAAAGCAUCAGAGAAAUCGCGCCUUGCUGAAAGUUAUUCGGUGAAGCCUCCAUUUAAAUCCAGACCUUCUAACCCUAAAUCCUAUCUUCUUUUUAUCACUGGUUUACAGCAUUUACGGGUAACGCUUUUGGGGACCCUGGCAGCAUGGGCAAUAUUAGUUAAGCUGUGCCACAGAAUGGAUUCUACAAAUCCCACCAAACCCUUUGCUUACCCACUGGUUCAUUCUCAUUCUUCAUGCUUAGUUUGCUAAUGUAGGAGUCACAUGUCCCUGUUGUCUUUAUUCUCCUGGCUUAAUCAGGAAAACGAGCCAGAGGAGCCGAAAUGAUUAGCUUGGAAUCAUUAGAAGAGGAAAGAAUUUAUAUUCACAGUGACUGUAUUUCUAGUCCAUUGAUUAGGCAAUUUUGCUUUUAUGAAUCAAUCGGGGUGAUUGCUAUGCUGAAUAAAAUACGGAAUUGCUAUCA
ensembl:lncRNA